rnacentral:tRNA from 2 species
GCCGGAGUGGCGGAAUGGCAGACGCAGCGGACUCAAAAUCCGCCGAGGGUAAACCUCGUGGGGGUUCGACCCCCCCCUCCGGCACCA